rnacentral:lncRNA from 1 species
GGAGCAAAUUAAAAAGCGCGCAACAGAAAGAGGACCCAAAAGAAAAUUCUCCUAAACCUCUUAAACACUGCGUUUAAAUGGGAUUAAAAUAAAACAAUUUAAAUUUCAUGGAAAGAUUUAAAAAUAAAAACCAUGAUUUUGAAAUGAUGGAAAAAUAAAAAGGAUUAAAAACAAAAAUAACCCAUAAAUAAAACCCCACUGCAUUUGCAGCCAAUAAAACCCAUUUCAAUCCCUAACAAAACUCUCCUCUGCCAUUUUUCAAUCACGCCGUUGCGCUCCCUCUGCCGUUCCAGUCUCCUCCCUUUUCCGACCAGAUAACGGCGAAAAGAGGACACCCAACGACUCUUUCAACGGUAAGUCUUCCUUUCCUCCCUUUCUUCGUUUAUUUUUGUUGUUUUAAGAAACAAAAUAAAAUAAAAUAAAAUAAAAACAGUAAAAAGAACAGAAGAAACAAAGCCAAAAUCUGUCACCUUCAAAAAAUGUUUUUCUCUCUUGUAUUUUCCUUUUUAAUUUUUUUUCAAUACAAAAAUUUGCUAACCUCCAUUACAUAAGUCGAUUCGCCUUUUAUACAACAAAUUUCUCCUGUUUUUCGUUUUUCUCUGUCUUAUUAGUGCCGUUUGUGAUUCCUUCGUUGCAGGUACGUGAGAACAGUGAGGUUGCCAGACGUGAGCGACGGGGGCAGUUACUGCGGAGGGAGAACGUGUGCGGCGCGGGGGAAAGGGUUUCUGCUGUUUAGGUUUUUUGUGCUUUAGGUUAGUGGGUCAGAGUUAAAAUGGGAUAUUGGGCCUUAGCAAGGUCUGUUUUGAGUGGGCCGGGUAAAAUUUGUUUAUUACAGAUAGGAUAUAUAACAUGCAAGAAAAGCAAAAAUAUAUUUGAAAGAAAGAAAAAAUGAAAAACUUUUUGGGUUAGACAAUGAGAUAAAAUAUACUAAAAUGAGAUAAAAAAAAUAACUUAAAAUGAUCUCUUGUUAGUUUUUAAACUAUAAAUAUACUUUUUGUUAGUUUUUAAAUUCACUCAUUUAUCUGGUAUAAAAAAUUACUCAUUUAUCUAGUUAUUUUUUUUUCUCUUAAAUUUAGAUUCACUUUUAAUACAAUUAAUAUAUGUUUUUGUAACUUUUAACUUUAACUAUUUUAUCUGUUUAAAAUUAUUAAUAAUAUGUUAAAUAUACAUUUUCAGUAA